CCUCUUUCAGUCCACAUUUAAACAUUCUUCCGCAGUGUGCUCUCUCAGUUGCAAAAGGAAGGAGGCCCGACAGCUUCAGAGUCAAGCAGUCGUCCACAGUGAUGUUGCGGAACAGGUAGGACAUGGACUCUCCGUUGUGGAUGCGGCGGAUGGCCUCAGCCAGGAUCAGACUCACAUCCACGGUUUUGAUCUUCGGACACUGCAGCUUCUGCACCUCAUGAGGAACGGUGUUGGUCACAACCACCUGCAUGUGUGGAGCAAAACUAUGGAGGCUCAAAGGUGCCACAAUUCAAUCAGUCAAUAAAUAAUUUGCUAAACUUU